AGGGAGAUCUGGAGCCUUUAAUAAAUCCUGCAGUGAGGUACUCAGGAAGGUUCAGACUCGAUUAACUUCCCAGCUGCUGGGUGUCUCGUCCAUCAUCACAUUGAAGAUAGUUGGUCAGCCAGAGAGACAAAAGAGAGGGAGAUCUGCAGCCUUCAAUAAAUCCUGCAGUGAGUUUCCGGAAAUGCUUCCUAAAGCAGGAUGAUCAGAAUUCUCCACAGUACUCCAACUGGGGACCCAGCAAUGCCUUGUACAGCCGUAC